UAGAUAUGUUGGACGUGACCCGUACCUCAUGAAGAUGUGUGAAUUUUCGGUGGACCUUAAAGAUUUGCCGACAGUGGAGGCCGUUGAUAUAACAAACUACCUGGUGCUUCAGACAUCGUUCUACACUAAACAGCAAAUGAAGGCCUAUAAAAGUAUGGAGGCAUAUAACUUCUUUGUCUGCGGGUGGGUCCACAACCUCGGCGCCAAACGUCUCCACGACGAUAAUAUUUUAGUCUUCGCCAGGGUGAGUGUUUAUUCUUAUAUUGUUUUAUGUGUUAAAAGAUGCUAGCGUUAGCGGUAGCGGCUAUAGUGAACGAUCAUCAACGGUCAUGCAACACAUCUUAACAACAACGUUAGCCUGACAGUUGUUUAUGUUUCAAGGUAAACCACUCUCAGCGUUCAAGCGAAACACCUCUGAAGACGUGGAUUAUUGCGAAGAAGGAUGGAGAAGUCAUUGCAGCUCAUUGCAAUUGCAUGGCAGGAUUAUCAGAAUCAUGUUCUCAUGUAGGAGCAGUGCUUUUUUCCAUUGAAGCUGGGGUAAAAAUGCGAGAUGCAGCUUCCUGCACAACAGAGCAGUGCAAGUGGCUGAUGCCAUCACAUGUAAAAAAGAUUCCUGCUGCUCCAGUAGCUCAGAUUGACUUCUCCUCAGCAAAAUCCAAAAAAAAAAAGCUUGACAGCUCCAUUGACGGCAGGACAACUAUAAACAAGUUAUGGAUGCAAACAUGAGGCACAAGCCAGAGGAGCAUAUGAGAAGCUGAUGGGUCGGGAGCAUGCAGGCUUCUCCUGUAUGGACAGUGGUCUCUGGCUGAACCCCAAGUGGCCAUACAUGGGAUCCUCUCCUGAUGGGAUUGUCGCUUGUGACUGUCACGGAACUGGCAUCUGCGAAAUGAAGUGUCCAUACUCUUACCAAGAUGAAGCCAAUCUACGUUUGUGUGCUGGGAGAAAGGGCUUCUGCCUUAUCAACGAUGGGGAUCAUGUCAUGCUGGACCGGAGUCAUGAUUACUACUUCCAAGUUCAGGCACAGCUUCACAUUGUAGAUGCAGAGUACUGUGACUUUGUUGUGUGGAACCGCAAUGACAUUUUUGUGGAAAGGAUUUUGCCUGAUUUUGAACUUUGGGAUGAUGUGAUUCCUAAAGUUGAGUAUUUUUUUAGAAAAAGUGUACUUCCAGAAAUACUGGGACAGCAAAUUACAAACGUACAUGUGUAAUGUGAUGAAAGAAUGUUUACUGUAAAAAUUAAAUGCCAU